rnacentral:rRNA from 1 species
UAGGGAAUCUUCCGCAAUGGGCGAAAGCCUAACGGAGCAACGCCGCGUGAGUGAUGAAGGUCUUCGGAUCGUAAAACUCUGUUAUUAGGGAAGAACAAAUGUGUAAGUAACUAUGCACGUCUUGACGGUACCUAAUCAGAAAGACACGGCUAACUACGUGCCAGCAGCCGCGGUAAUACGUAGGUGGCAAGCGUUAUCCGGAAUUAUUGGGCGUAAAGCGCGCGUAGGCGGUUUUUUAAGUCUGAUGUGAAAGCCCACGGCUCAACCGUGGAGGGUCAUUGGAAACUGGAAAACUUGAGUGCAGAAGAGGAAAGUGGAAUUCCAUGUGUAGCGGUGAAAUGCGCAGAGAUAUGGAGGAACACCAGUGGCGAAGGCGACUUUCUGGUCUGUAACUGACGCUGAUGUGCGAAAGCGUGGGGAUCAAACAGG